rnacentral:rRNA from 1 species
UGGGGAAUUUUGCACAAUGGGGGAAACCCUGAUGCAGCGACGCCGCGUGAUUUAGAAGGCCUUCGGGUUGUAAAAAUCUUUUUUACGGGAGGAAAAUGACAGUACCGUAAGAAUAAGUUCCGGCUAAAUACGUGCCAGCAGCCGCGGUAAUACGUAUGGACCGAGCGUUGUCCGGAAUCAUUGGGCGUAAAGGGUACGUAGGCGGCCUAGUAAGUUAGAAGUGAAAUAAUAUAGCUCAACUAUAUAAAGCUUUUAAAACUGCUAGGCUUGAGAGAUGGAAGGGAAAGUGGAAUUCCUAGUGUAGCGGUGAAAUGCGCAGAUAUUAGGAAGAAUACCGGUGGCGAAGGCGACUUUCUGGUCAUCAUCUGACGCUGAGGUACGAAAGCGUGGGUAGCAAACAGG